rnacentral:rRNA from 1 species
GACGAACGCUGGCGGCGUGCCUAAUACAUGCAAGUAGAACGCUGAAGAGAGGAGCUUGCUCUCCUUGGAUGAGUUGCGAACGGGUGAGUAACGCGUAAGUAACCUGCCAUGUAGCGGGGGAUAACUAUUGGAAACGAUAGCUAAUACCGCAUAACAAUGGAUGAUCCAUGUUAUUUAUUUGAAAGGGGCAAAUGCUCCACUACAAGAUGGACCUGCGUUGUAUUAGCUAGUAGGUGAGGUAACGGCUCACCUAGGCGACGAUACAUAGCCGACCUGAGAGGGUGAUCGGCCACACUGGGACUGAGACACGGCCCAGACUCCUACGGGAGGCAGCAGUAGGGAAUCUUCGGCAAUGGGGGCAAGCCUGACCGAGCAACGCCGCGUGAGUGAAGAAGGUUUUCGGAUCGUAAAGCUCUGUUGUAAGAGAAGAACGGGUGUGAGAGUGGAAAGUUCACACUGUGACGGUAGCUUACCAGAAAGGGACGGCUAACUACGUG